CUUGAGUUAUAAACAUAAGAGGUCCAGCCUGCCCAGUGAUUAAAUUUAACGGCCGCGGUAUCCUAACCGUGCGAAGGUAGCGUAAUCACUUGUUCUUUAAAUGAGGACUAGUAUGAAUGGCAUCACGAAGGUUUUACUGUCUCCUUUUUCUAAUCAGUGAAACUAAUCUUCCCGUGAAGAAGCGGGAAUAAACGAAUAAGACGAGAAGACCCUAUGGAGCUUUAAACACAAUAACAAAUACUACUUUAAACAAAAAUUUCUUAAUGACUUACUUCCUGGUAUUAUGAUUAUUAGUUUUAGGUUGGGGUGACCGCGGAGAAAAACACAACCUCCACAUUGAAUGAUAAAAUUCUAAGCAAAGAAUUACAUUUCCACGCAUCAAUACAUUGACAUCAAUUGACCCAAUUAUUUUGAUCAACGAAC
rnacentral:rRNA from 1 species